UGUUGAUGUAAUUAAUUCAAUAAUUCAACCUGAGGCCCCUAAGAGGAGACCAAUAGUCCCGCCGAUAUCGCAAAGCAGCGAGAUGAUGUCAUACGCAAAUUCUUCUUUUGUUUCCUCAUACGUCAUGUCGGUAUCAGCAUUCGUUUCGUAAAGGUACUGUGAACAGGUGCUGGAAUAUCCGCAUUGACAGGCAGCCGGAUGCCAUCCAUUACCUUCCCACAAUAAAUCUUUCUGCAAGUCUUCGGCAAAAAGCAACUGCUGUGAAGUGUUACAGUACGGUACGGAUGUGAAAUUCGGUAAAUUCAUGUACGGCAUUCUAUAUAUUAUGAUGGCGUAUAUAAGAAACAAACUUAAUUGGAAAAUAAUUCUCUCAAUUUCCAUUUUAAUUUUAAAAUACCGACAUCCCGAUUUCUUGAUCAUUUUUUCGUGAAAACAACGGCUGAUGCAACGUGAAACUGUUUUGGACUCGUCAAAAGAACAAGGUGCAUGGUAUUUACUCUCGGCUUGAAAGUGUUUGAGGGAAACGGCGACAUCCUUGUUCCAGCCCUGUUCCAGAAAGAAGCCGUGAGUCAAUGCGCGGAUGUCGUGAGUGCUGUACCGAUCGCUGAUCAUUAUGACCUAUAUAGCGUUUGAAUUAUUCGCAUAAUUGUUAUUUUACACAAUUUGAUGUUGAAACCAUAAAAUUGGCCACUGACUGUCACCGGCAAUCCGGGGAAAUGGAGGCAGUAACCCAAAAUCGUGAAAAUUCGCAUUAUUUUCCCGUUUUCCGUGCAAUUGACCCUCGCCUGCAAACACUUUAUAACACACAGCAAUUCUCAGUUUAAAAAUGUAAAAUAAUAUUAAUGAAAAAAUAUCUUUAGUAUAUAUUAUACGCUAGUGACGUCGUCUUCCAAUUCCCAGCCGGCUAGCUUCCACAAAGUGACUACGUCGUACACGUCAGCCAGUUUGUACAUGGCAUCGACGGGAUCUCCAAAUUGUUCUCCUUCUGGAAAAUGAACUUCGUAGAGCGAUUGGAGCUUAACCAGUACCGGUAUAAUUGAAUAAUCCAAGAGGACUUACAAAGUGUCGCGAUAAGGGCAGAGUGUGAUGGAUGGAAACAUUAGCGAAUCAUUUCUUAUGAAUCGCACUGUAGUCGAAACCGGUCGAGUCUACGCGCAAAUGAAAAUAAAUUCUGAAUUAGUAAAA